CUUCAUCAUAUCUUUUCAGCAUAAUUGGCAUACAAACGCACAAUCGCAGCGCAAAUCUUGAGGAGAGGAAUCAUUUAUAAUCCAAUUGCAGAUUAAUGGGCUGCGUAAUCCAAUUCAUAUUCGUUGUCUGCCAAGCACACUUAACAUGGAUUCUUCUUGCUUGUGAAUGAUUUACAUUUUAAUCAGGCAACAAACAUUUAUAAUGCGGCACAGUUGCACAUCACAUCAUCAUCAUCAGAAGGAAGGCCACUCAAGAGGCAACCAGGGAGGAGGUGCUAAGUGCUACUCAAAUGUGGCACAAGGUGCAGCACUCUGCUCCGCUCUGUUACGGAUAGAUUACCCCAAGACUGGGUUACCAAAUUAAGGCGCCAACUAGAAGCACACGCCAACAAACCAAUUAUCACCUCAAAGUGUUUAACUGUGAGAUACAAUGCCUUUAACCAAACACAAUGAGAAUUAGUAAAUAAUUUGAAAUGCCUUAGUUUCUAUGUAAAAAAUUGUACUAAUAUAUUUUUAAAAUUGCAUUAUAUUUUAUAUACAUAUAUGUAUGUA